rnacentral:rRNA from 1 species
GCCGCGUGGGUGAAGAAGGCCUUCGGGUCGUAAAGCCCUUUUGUUGGGGAAGAAGCUCUGACGGUACCCAACGAAUAAGUCUCGGCUAACUACGUGCCAGCAGCCGCGGUCAUAAUCGAAUUCCCGCGGCC